UUACAGGGACAGGAGAACACGCAUGUGUUUAUCAGUGGAGAGAGGCUCAUGAUGCUGAAUCAUGUCAUCAAAGGAUUUGAAGUGCAGAGCUUUUGUGGUGGAGCAGGACCUGCAAGGAAAGAUGGUGGCAGCAUUUGUAGGGGAAAAAAGGUUUUAGGGAAUUUAUUCAAAUAUAAAGAUCUGAAAUGUCUGCAGACUGGUGUGAGCACUGAGAAUGAGGAGCCCAGAGCUGAAUCCUGGAAGUGGUCCCAUGGAUGUUUCCCUCCAUCUCUCCAUCUGCCCUUAUGAGUCCCUCUAUCACUCCAUCUGCCCUUAUUGCCUCUGAUUGUGAAGCGCUUGCAGUAGGAUGCUGUGUUCAGUGCCUGUAAAUACAUGCUUGUACUUUGAAUAAAGCUUUGUUUCAUGUGUU